rnacentral:hammerhead_ribozyme from 1 species
AUCCAGUUGAUGAGUCACAAAUAGGACGAAGAUGCGCGUCCUGGAU